AGCUCCCUGGCAACAGGCAAAGAGACACCUUGUUUUUGAUGGCUUUGCUCUUAUAUCAGUCAGGAGCAGAGCAAAUGACAGUCCUUUGUUUAUCCUAGCUUGAUGCCUGGCUUGGUGGUCAAAGCUGUUUUAUGUCUAGGGCACAUAA